GAUGAACGCUGGCGGCGUGCCUAAUACAUGCAAGUCGAGCGAACAGACGAGGAGCUUGCUCCUCUGACGUUAGCGGCGGACGGGUGAGUAACACGUGGAUAACCUACCUAUAAGACUGGGAUAACUUCGGGAAACCGGAGCUAAUACCAGAUAAUAUAUUGAACCGCAUGGUUCAAUAGUGAAAGACGGUUUUGCUGUCACUUAUAGAUGGAUCCGCGCCGCAUUAGCUAGUUGGUAAGGUAACGGCUUACCAAGGCAACGAUGCGUAGCCGACCUGAGAGGCUGAUCGGCCACACUGGAACUGAGACACGGUCCAGACUCCUACGGGAGGCAGCAGUAGGGAAUCUUCCGCAAUGGGCGAAAGCCUGACGGAGCAACGCCGCGUGAGUGAUGAAGGUCUUCGGAUCGUAAAACUCUGUUAUUAGGGAAGAACAAAUGUGUAAGUAACUAUGCACGUCUUGACGGUACCUAAUCAGAAAGCCACGGCUAACUACGUG
rnacentral:rRNA from 1 species